GGACGACGUCAAGUCAUCAUGGCCCUUACGACCAGGGCUACACACGUGCUACAAUGGCGUAUACAAAGGGAAGCGAAGGUGCGAGCUGGAGCGGAUCUCAUAAAGUACGUCUAAGUUCGGAUUGGAGUCUGCAACUCGACUCCAUGAAGUCGGAAUCGCUAGUAAUCGUAGAUCAGAAUGCUACGGUGAAUACGUUCCCGGGCCUUGUACACACCGCCCGUCACACCAUGGGAGUGGGUUGCACCAGAAGUAGAUAGCUUAACCGCGAGGGGGGCGUUUACCACGGUGUGAUUCAUGACUGGGGUGAAGUCGUAACAAGGUAACCA
rnacentral:rRNA from 1 species